rnacentral:rRNA from 1 species
CCUGGCUCAGGAUGAACGCUGGCGGCGUGCCUAAUACAUGCAAGUCGUACGAGGGAAGUCCAGCUUGCUGGACGGAACGAGUGGCGAACGGGUGAGUAAUACGUAAGCAACCUGCCUGCAAGGACUGGGAUAACACCUGGAAACGGGCGCUAAUACCGGAUAGGUAACAAAGGGGCAUCCCUAUGUUAUUAAAGGUUAGAAACACAAGCAGAUGGGCUUACGGUGCAUUAGCUAGUUGGUGAGGUAACGGCCCACCAAGGCGAUGAUGCAUAGCCGGCCUGAGAGGGUGAACGGCCACAUUGGGACUGAGACACGGCCCAGACUCCUACGGGAGGCAGCAGUAGGGAAUUUUCGGCAAUGGACGAAAGUCUGACCGAGCAACGCCGCGUGAGUGAUGACGGUCCUUUGGAAUUGUAAAGCUCUGUUGUAAGCCAUGAAUGAUAGCUUUAGGAAAUGAAAGCUAUUUGACGACAGCUUACCAGAAAGCCACGGCUAACUACGUGCCAGCCGCUGC